CAAUAGCGUAUAUUAAAGUUGUUGCGGUUAAAAAGCUCGUAGUUGGAUUUCUGCCGAGGACGACCGGUCCGCCCUCUGGGUGAGUAUCUGGUUCGGCCUGGGCAUCUUCUUGGAGAACGUAUCUGCACUUGACUGUGUGGUGCGGUAUCCAGGACUUUUACUUUGAGGAAAUUAGAGUGUUUCAAGCAGGCACACGCCUUGAAUACAUUAGCAUGGAAUAAUAGAAUAGGACUUCCGGUUCCAUUUUAUUGGUUUUAGAGCCGAAGUAAUGAUUAAUAGGGAUAGUUGGGGGCACCCGUACUCCGUUGUCAGAGGUGAAAUUCUUGGAUUUACGGAAGACGAACAACUGCGAAAGCAUCUGCCAAGGAUGUUUUCAUUGAUCAAGAACGAAAGUUAGGGGAUCGAAGAUGAUUAGAU
rnacentral:rRNA from 1 species